GACGAACGCUGGCGGCGUGCUUAACACAUGCAAGUCGAGCGGUAAGGCCCUUUCGGGGGUACACGAGCGGCGAACGGGUGAGUAACACGUGGGUGACCUGCCCUCAGCUCUGGAAUAAGCCUGGGAAACCGGGUCUAAUACCGGAUAUGACUCCAUGACGCAUGUUGUGGGGUGGAAAGCCUUGUGCGGCUGAGGAUGGGCCCGCGGCCUAUCAGCUUGUUGGUGGGGUGAUGGCCUACCAAGGCGACGACGGGUAGCCGGCCUGAGAGGGCGACCGGCCACACUGGGACUGAGACACGGCCCAGACUCCUACGGGAGGCAGCAGUGGGGAAUCUUGCGCAAUGGGCGAAAGCCUGACGCAGCGACGCCGCGUGAGGGAUGACGGCCUCGGUGUAACUACUUC
rnacentral:rRNA from 1 species